rnacentral:rRNA from 1 species
ACGCUGGCGGCGUGCUUAACACAUGCAAGUCGAACGAGAAAUCUUUAGCUUGCUAGAGAAAGUAAAGUGGCGCACGGGUGAGUAACGCGUGGGUAAUCUGCCUCCGAAUCGGGGAUAACAUUGCGAAAGCGAUGCUAAUACCGGAUAAAAUCUGGUUGGCUUAGGUGAACCGGAUCAAAGGUGGUCUCUUUAUAAAAGCUACCGUUUGGAGAUGAGCUCGCGUACCAUUAGCUAGUUGGUGAGGUAAAGGCUCACCAAGGCGACGAUGGUUAGCUGGUCUGAGAGGAUGAUCAGCCACACCGGAACUGGAACACGGUCCGGACUCCUACGGGAGGCAGCAGUUGAGGAAUUUUGCGCAAUGGGGGAAACCCUGACGCAGCAACGCCGCGUGAGUGAUGAAGGCUUUCGGGUCGUAAAGCUCUGUCAGGUGGGAAGAACCCACCAAGUGUUAAGACCACUUGGUGCUGACGGUACCACCGAAGGAAGCACCGGCUAACUCCGUGCCAGCAGCCGCGGUAAUACGGGGGGUGCGAGCGUUAUUCGGAAUCAUUGGGCGUAAAGGGCGCGCAGGCGGUUUUGUACGUCAGAUGUGAAAUCCCGGGGGCUUAACCCCGGAAGUGCAUAUGAAACUAUGAGACUUGAGUAUGGGAGAGGGAAGCGGCAUUCCUGGAGUAGCGGUGAAAUGCGUAGAUAUCAGGAGGAAC